UACGUAGGGUCCGAGCGUUGUCCGGAAUUACUGGGCGUAAAGAGCUCGUAGGUGGUUUGUCGCGUUGUUCGUGAAAACUCACAGCUCAACUGUGGGCGUGCGGGCGAUACGGGCAGACUGGAGUACUGCAGGGGAGACUGGAAUUCCUGGUGUAGCGGUGGAAUGCGCAGAUAUCAGGAGGAACACCGGUGGCGAAGGCGGCUCACUGGGGGUUUUCUGACGCUGAGGAACGAAAGCCAGGGGAGCGAACGGG
rnacentral:rRNA from 1 species